rnacentral:lncRNA from 1 species
AGUGAGCCCCAGAUCCAGGGACUAAGGCAGCAGGGGUGAAAGCAGUGACUUAGAAGCUACCCGGCGCCUCAUCUGGGCUCACCUGAGCUGAGGAUCAGGAAGGGGAGGGGGCACAGUCAUUCCCUCGCGGACGCGGCGGGACCCCAGCGGACGGCUUUGUGCGGACUUUCGGCACCGUUAUGCCCCCCUAGCCCGACACCACCUGGGGCUGGCGCGCCACGUUACUGUUCAG